AGUCUAAGACUUUCACCGAUGUGCCUCUUAAUUAAUACCUGAUCAACGAUACCGUGAAUAUUGGAACAGACGCCUGACGACAAAAAAGAUAGCGCCACGCAUUGCAUGCCGGUUAAAUUGCGAAGUUUCAGAUAAUCUGUGAUGUUAUUUACAGAUAUAGAAGAGACAAGAGUGAGUAAAGUUUCACAAGAUAUACUUUGAUAAAAACAAACCGCCGGGAAGGCAAAACUAUAAAUAUAUUCAAGACAAUAAAUAUUCAAGGCAGCUAUCUAUGCAUGCAGUCAGUCUAUUCUAGCAACUUUAAUUAAUUAUGUGUGUUAUAACUCUUAAAAUUGAAAACAAACUUAUAAUAAAUAUAAAAUACCGAACGUUUUCUGACUGAUUCAACAAUUUUGUUUGAAAUAUCUUUCAAAGUAUAGUUUAUAUCGUUUCAACAAAUUUCGCAGCUUGCAUCCUCGAUUCCAUGUCUGGUAUAUACGGGGCUCCGAUGGCAUGGUCGUCAAGCAGGCCUGGUCGUCAAGCAGGCCUGGUCGUCAAGCAGGCCUGGUCGUCAAGCGACUUGCGCACGGACUCGUCAGUGUGCAUGAAAAGAGCCAUUGAAGUGCUCCGGUGUCCUAUAUACCAAAGCAAAGGGGAAAUUGACAUGCAGGAUGGUUUAAGGUAAACACAAUUAAUUUAAGAAAGUAAUAUCACAAUUGUUGUAAAGAUAAGAAAUAGUCUAGGCUAAUGAUGCUUGUGAUGUCACUCUGAGUGUAUAUCCACACCAGACAAGCUUGAAAAAUAUGCCUGGCCACGGUGGGAAUUGAAUCUACGUACGACCUUUGGAAUGCUAGCCCAAUGUGCCAACUGAGCUACGCGGUCAGGUCGGUUCGAGUAUGUGAUAUUUCGGAACUGUCCAGUUCGAUAUCGAUGUAAUCUAGUAAUCAUGAAUUUUUUCUGUGUUGGUGACUUGGUGUAAUGUACUCAGGUGAAUAUGGGCUAGUAUCCCAAAGGUCGUAGGUUCACUCAGAGUAACAUCACAAGCAUCAUAAAAAAAUCAUGAUUGCUAGAUUACAUCGAUAUCGAAGGAACUGUACUCAGUUCCAAAAUAACACAUACUCGAACCAACCUGACCGCGUAGCUCAGUUGGCAUGCAGAGCAUUGGGCUAGUAUUCCAAAGGUCGUAGGUUCAAUUCCGGCCGUGGUCAGGCAUAUUUUUCAAGCUUGCCCGGUGUGGAUAUACACUCAGAGUAACAUCACAAGCAUCAUAUACAUCACACCAACACAGAAAAAAAGUCUAGGCUAUUAAAGUUUGUUUUUAGGUAAGCGUAACAUUUGAUAUGUUGACCGCAUUUGAUGAUAUCCACGUGUGAAUUUGCGCUAUAGAAAUGCUAAUCGUAUACCACG